GUCACAUAGCUAGUAAGUAGUAGAAGCAGGAUUUGUACCCAAGUAAUUUGGCUCCAAGUUAAAGACUCUCUGUUAUUACUGUGGCUUUCUUAGAUAUAAUGUACUACUUAACUCACUUUUAAAAAAUCAGUAUCAUCUAGCACAAGGCAAUACAAUCAUUUUUAAAAAGUUGCUUUAUUUACAUUUGCAUUUUAUAAGCGGCUGAUUAAACUAAGACAUGAUGAAAGAAGUGUACAAUUCUAAUCAUCACUUAUAUAUUCCAAUACAUUUAAGUUAAAAUUAAUAUGUUAAUGCAGAAAUAUUUUCCGUUUCCUAACUUAUGGCAGCAUAUUUUCUUCCAAAGCCAUCAUGUACUAGUGUACUUUUAAAUACAUUAUAGAAAUUAGAAUAUUAAAGGAUAUGCAGCAGAAAUAAAUUAAUUCAGA